rnacentral:lncRNA from 1 species
UAUAAUCACAUUUAUGCAAAAAAUUGUCAAAUUCAAGUCUAAAAAUGUGAAAAAAUAUAUAUUGCGUAUAAAUACAAAAGAAAAUUUCCGUCUUUUUGGAUUUUAUCGAAAAAAAAUAUUGGCCGGGGUAACUACCCCCUAACGCUAUUUAUCUUGCGCGUAUACACAAAAUCGUCAAAUUCAAGUCUAAAAAUCUGAAAAAAUGUACAAUGCGUACGAACACGAAGGAAAUAUGACAUAUGAUUGGAUUUUAUCGAAAAAAAAUAUUGAAGGGGUAACUACCCUUGAAAGCUGUUUAUCUUGCGUUUACGCGAGAAAAUGGUCAAAUUGAAGUGUAAAAAUUUGAAAAAAAUAUAUAUAGCGUAUGUACACAAAAGAAAAUUUUCGUGUUUUUGGAUUUUAUCGAAAAAAAAAUAUUGGACGGGGUAACUGCCCCUGAACGCUGUUUAUCUUGCAUUUAUUGAAUUGAAAAAGAAAAUCGAAGAUAUUUUAUUGGCCGCGAUGAAUGAAUUUAAUGGCGUGAAAAGGACGAUUGAGGAAUCCCUAGAUUUUCAAGAACCAUACAAAGAUACUAUUGCUCAAAUAAUAGAAGAUGACAUUAUGCAUACUUUACCUAUCUAGCCUGUGCCACCUACAAAUGAGUGUACGAAAGACGAAGAAGAUGUAUCGUAUAUUAAUCAAGAGCCGUAGAUUUCUGGAGAAGCGGAAAAAAAGAAAUUUACACAUUGACACUGUACGAAAAAAUUUUAAAAGAGUGAAAUCUAUAAAUCAACUGUGACGAUGGGCUCAUUCAUUGAAUAAAGAUGGCACUUACAGAAAAAAUAUCGCUAGGACUUGCGACAUUACGAUUAAUAAUUUUAAAGCAGCAGUCAACGCCGCUUUCAUCGUUCGUGAUAAUGAUUUACGCAAAUGGGCCUUACAAUCCCAGAAAGAAAUUGGCCAUGAAGAUUUCCGAUUUACAGCUUCAAAAAAAUGGUCGAAUCGAUUUAAACACGCACACAGAAUAGUAUCCAGGAAAAUCAAUAAAUUUAUCACUUGAAAAACUUCCGAAGAUGCUGAACGGUUAAAAGUGAAGGCAGAUGAAUUUGUGGCUCGUGUUAAACACAGUAUAGCAAAUUUCGGAAUUCAAAAUGUGUACACUUCCGAUCAAAGCGAAUUCCAGCUGGAGAUGCAUUCAGGAAGACCUUUGGCUGUCGAAGGAGAAAAGCAAGUUCAGUGCCUUGUCCGGUGAGUUGCAUCUACAACCCAUAAUUACACAAUACAACCGCUGAUAUCAACUGAAGGAAAACUUUUAUCACCUCUCUUUUUGGUGUUAAAAGAUCAAAGUCGAAAGUUCAGAUCACUUUAAAACUUGGUUGACGGAAAUAUGUUUUCCAAAUGUAGGACAAAGCAGCGUAUUACUAAUUGAUUCAUGGAGUGGUCAUUGUCUCGCAGUAGUAGCAGAAAGUACACCCCGGAAC